rnacentral:rRNA from 1 species
GACAGAGGGGGCAAGCGUUGCUCGGAAUUACUGGGCGUAAAGGGCGCGUAGGCGGGAUGGCAAGUCGGUCGUGAAAUCCCUCGGCUCAACCGAGGAACGUCGAUCGAUACUGCUGUUCUUGAGGAUUGCAGAGGAGACUGGAAUUCCCGGUGUAGCGGUGAAAUGUGUAGAGAUCGGGAGGAACACCGGUGGCGAAGGCGGGUCUCUGGGCAAUUCCUGACGCUGAGGCGCGAAAGCUAGGGGAGCAAACAGG